rnacentral:rRNA from 1 species
UACGAAGGGGGCUAGCGUUGCUCGGAAUUACUGGGCGUAAAGCGCACGUAGGCGGAUUCUUAAGUCGGUGGUGAAAGCCUGGAGCUCAACUCCAGAACUGCCUUCGAUACUGAGAGUCUUGAGUCCGGGAGAGGUGAGUGGAACUGCGAGUGUAGAGGUGAAAUUCGUAGAUAUUCGCAAGAACACCAGUGGCGAAGGCGGCAUCCUGGACCAAUACUGACGCUCAUGCACGAAAGCGUGGGGGAGCAAACAGG